rnacentral:rRNA from 1 species
UACAGAGGUGGCAAGCGUUGUUCGGAAUUACUGGGCGUAAAGGGCGCGUAGGCGGCCCGUCAAGUCCCGUGUGAAAGCCCCCGGCUCAACCGGGGAACGGCGCGGGAAACUAGCAGGCUUGAGUUCGGGAGAGGGAAGCGGAAUUCCGGGUGUAGCGGUGAAAUGCGCAGAUAUCCGGAGGAACACCGGUGGCGAAGGCGGCUUCCUGGACCGGCAUUGACGCUGAGGAGCGAAAGCCAGGGGAGCAAACGGG